UACGUAGGGAGCGAGCGUUGUUCGGAUUUACUGGGCGUAAAGAGCACGUAGGCGGGUACGCAAGUCGGUUGUGAAAUCCUCUGGCUCAACCAGAGAAUUGCAGUCGAAACUGCAUACCUUGAGUCCAGCAGAGGGAAUCGGAAUCAGCAGUGUAGCGGUGAAAUGCGUAGAUAUUGCUGAGAACACCAGUGGCGAAGGCGGAUUCCUGGGCUGGUACUGACGCUGAGGUGCGAAAGCGUGGGGAGCGAACAGG
rnacentral:misc_RNA from 1 species